rnacentral:tRNA from 1 species
UUUAUCUUAGUGUAAAGAGCACGUAAAUUUUUGGUAUUUAAAGUAAAUAAGA